CCCCUUUGUAAUCAUCACAUGAAAUCAUAUAGAAAUGAACUCAGUGGCACUACAAUCUAUUCAAUUUCCUGAUUUAUAUCUCUGCUAAGAUUUUGUUGAACAUCAUGUUAUCAAAUUGAAGAAAACAACAGAAAUUAAUAAUGGGGGAACUUAAAAACUUCAUCAUCUUCACUUUUCAAGACCUUAUGUCCAGACCUUUUGCAUCAAAUCACAUAAUCUUCUAAAUUCAAGACUCUGGAUACAGUUAAGGUUUAGUCUAGGCAUUGGCACUUUUUGCAAAUCACAUAAUCUUCUAAAUUCAAGACUCUGGAUACAGUUAAGGUUUAGUCUAGGCAUUGGCACUUUUUGAACAAACUAAGUUCUUUUUACAUUGAAAGUUAUCUCACUGCCACCGCAGUCAAGAACAAACAAUGACUGUCUUUGGUCAAGUGGAUAACAAUCCAAUCAUCAUCUAAGAGGUAACAAUACACUAAAGCCAGCCAAUCAUCUUG
rnacentral:lncRNA from 1 species